AUCCUGGCCAGCAAACUAGUGGGGAAGGCAGCGGAUAUUUACCGGGCUGUACCAGAAGAGCAGAUCAGAGACUAUCCCUUUAUUACCCAAAUCCUCCUGGCCCGGUAUGCGGUCACCCCCGAGCAACACCGCCAAAAGUUUAGGGAGACCCGGAAAGGGGAGAAGGACUCCCAUGCGGAGUGGGCAUGCCACAUCACAAGGG